UUAAAAGAUUCUUUUAAUAGGAUCAAUCAACAGAUGCUUGACAUCGACCAAAAAUUUCAGACGAUUAGGUCAAGACAUUCAUUAUUAAGGAGCUGUUGCAAGAGUUGCUCCAUAAGGUCUCCAAAGCAUCUGAGCAGUUACAACCAGGAAAGAUGCAACACCCGCUUUUUAGUUUCCUAUGAGAACGCUUAACAUGGACGAUGCAUCGAUGGUCGUUGUUGCAGAGACCAUGCUUGUAGCCAAGGGAGAGGAUGCGGUAGCUAAUCAGUCAUGCAACACAAUCCAGAUGGUAGAGAAGCUUCAUUUCCAGGUCAUUUUGUUGCCAACCGUUGGCAGCAUAAUAUUCCUGUUUCACCAAUAAUUCCAGAUGCUAUCGUGCAGCAUGUUGGAUGCAGAAAGGAACAAGUUCAUUCAGCAUAUGACUAUUCAAAAUUAUCUUUUCAUUGGCAACAACUGGGUUGCUAUGCUAGGUUGUCAAUGGAUGUGUUGAAUCUUGAAUGAUAGUUAUGGUUCUUUAUAUAUGGAAAAGGCGAACCAAGGAGGCGUUAAGCAUGGAGUGCCUAUCGGAAGGCAGGGAGAGAGGGGGUGUAGCGAGAAGGGUAGUGACGAGAAGAAAAUGUGGCCAAACAUACUAAGGCAGCCAGAGAAACCCUCCUGGUAUGGCAAACAUGGUCACUCGAUUGACAACAAAAAACCGUGGUUGAACCCUAGCUCUCAUCUUCUUAUUAAAGGUAAUAACGGCUUCACAUCAGGAGACGAAGUCCCUGUGCCACUUCACGAUGGCUCUAGGAUGGUGUCUCAGAUAAGCAAGAAACGAAAGUUCAUCGCAGAUGGAGUCUUCUAUGCGGAUUUGAACGAGGUGCUGACAGAGUAAGGACUAGCGGCAGAGAACCUCUUGGAGCCGAACCAUGGCAGCCAACAUCAUUGAGGGUGGGAUUUGGGCAGGUAGUGCCGAACCGUUCUAGGGUUGACACAUAGAAAGGUCGGCCAAUGAGCUUGAGGAAUAAAAGAUAUACUCGACUAAGAACAAAAUACAGAUGCCAAGCCCUCGCCCUCAUCCUCUUGUGGAAGGUAACAAUGACUUAGCUUCAGAAGAUGUUGCCUUGGGCACAUGUGGAGCUUUGCAACCCACUAAAAAUCAAAGUAUACAAGAAGCUCCGAAAGUGAUUGUCGACCCUUUGACGAUGCCCAUCCUUCCAAUGAAAGGAGCAAACAAGGAUUCUCAGAACAAAGAAGACAAUUAGUUGACUUGGCUUUGGGCCGCAGAACUACCGAUGAUCCAAAAAUUGGUCAAAGUAAGGGUCCAACAGCAGAUGAAGUUGGCCAUCUGAGGUAUGUCUAUUUUCCCUUCUCAUACUUGCUCAGGUUUUAUCACCUUCAACCAGACUGGGACUCCUGAGAUGGAAUGAGAGAGGGUUCUUGAGGAGGGAGCAUGACAGUUUAAGCAUGAUGGACUUGAAGGGGGCAGUUGUAGGCUUUCAAAGAGAGCUGCCUUAGAAAUCAAGACCAAGGAGGCAGUUGCGGAGAAAUUAGAAAUAGAGACGAGGCAUACUCUAGUGGGAACGUUGGACAUUUGGAUUGCAAUAAAACAGAGGGGUUUGCCUAUCAUCAAAUCCGUUUUGGGACUUUUGUCAGAAUUCCUUCAUGGCGACAGUGGUUGUUCGACCAUCGAGCAUACAUUCACUGAGAUAUGCUCGGAUGCUAUGCUCUAUGCACCACAUGAUUGCCUUGUAGGAUCAACACUUCCUUAUAAGUUCUGUCCAGACACCAUCUACAUGAUACUAAAGGAUCUCACUCCAAAUAAUCUCAGGAUCUGUUGAGAAUCAAAGAAAUUUAAAGGCCACAUAGAUAUGGAGUCGUGGUACCAAAAUGAAUUUUCUGUUGAGAAAAUAACUGAUGCCAUUGUAUAGAAAUGGAUAAAUGCAUCCUCUAAUGAGGAACCUCAUUUUUCUGCACCAAAUUUAUUUGUUCCCACUGAUUUAGCAAUCAAGGAAGUGCAACACUACAACAAGCCAAAUAUCCAUUUUUGCUAAGAAAAACUUCUUUUCCAAGAUUGUGGUACAAACCGGAUGCCUUGUUCUGCACUCUGAAGGCUUUUGUCAAGAUAGAUUUCAGCUGUCCUUGGUCACACCAUUCUUCUGAUGCAGAAGUUGUCGCUGACAUUUUCACACGUUUAUUGAUGGAUUACUUGAAUGAUUAUACUUAUGAUGCACAAGUUGCUAGUUUGAUGUACAAGAUAUCUCAAUCUGAUUUUUGGGUUCCAGUUGACUGUGUUUGGAUGCAACCAAAAAAUUAAGCUAUUUCUGGAUGCAAUAAUUGAAAAAGUUGCUCAAUUUGAAGUAAAACUAGAAAAAAAUUCUGUACUCAAGGAAAGCAUGGUAAAGGAGUAUGAAAACUUCAAGUUUAGACAGCCAUAUCAGCAGGCAAUGUACUAUUCCUCUCUAAUAUUGGAGGACAAUCCAUGGCCUGGGAGUGAGAAACUUGAAGCUCUUGUUCAUCUUGUAGCUGAAGACCUCUCAAAAUUUUCUUAUCUCUUGCUCUCCACAACAUUUUUUGAGUUUUCUGCUGAAGGUAACAUUGGACCUAGUGAAGCAGAGACCUUGGUUAUUGAUAUUGAGAAGUUAUCGUUUUAUAUUCCAGAACAGAUAUGCAAGACUCUGUUUGCUUCACAGUUCUUGACAAAUAGAAUUGUCAAACUUCAGACUGCAAGAAGCCAUUUCUACCCCGUUCAUUACCUUAACCAAGAUAAUGAGAAUUCUGCACUAUUAUUCUAUCUUCAGGUUGAUCCAGAUGUUUUGGUACUACAUACAAAGCCUCAGCUCCAUUGUUCUUGUUGCAAAGCAGCCAGCGUUCCAUCAGCCCUGUACUGUUGAGCAGCUUGGUUACAUUGCGAUACUAAUGCAGAAGAAUGACUCUGGAAUUCAAGGACUGCAGUUUAUUAUUCAGUCCACUGUGGAGGACCCUAGACUGCUUGAUGAGAGGCUGGAGGCAUUUUUGAAGAUAUUUGACGACAAACUUCAUGCACUAUCUAUUGAGGAAUUUGAGAUAUCUCAAGGAAAGGAAAAGGUUUAUGGCAAAAGGAUACCUUCCAAUAAAAAGCUACCAGAUGGGACCGACCUAAACUGGUACAAGAGUUGCUCAAAUCAUUUAACCAGACUAAAUAAUGGAGUUCCUAGACUGACUGCUUCAAAGUACUACCCACUUGUUGUUACCUCGUCUUCUAGAGCUGGCAAAUUUUGCAUCAAAUCCAAAUGCAGGCCUCAACAGCAGAUUUUCAACUAUAGAACAAGAAAGCUAAGGCACACAUAUUCCAAUAACCCAACAGGAGGUUUGCCAUUCUUGGGAGUCCUGUCUCAUGCCAACUUGGAGGAAGUUUUUGAGCAGGAAGGACCUAUCGACUGGGAGGAAGAUUGGUGGAGGCCAUGAGAGAGAUGAAAUCUACUUCUUGGGGAUAGAAGUAGCAAGAAGUAAAGAAGGUCUAGUCCUUUCCCAAAGAAAAUAUGUUCUUGAUUUGCUACAAGAGACAGGUAUGACUGGAACUAAACCGACAUCUAUUCCUAUGAAUUCUCGUAUUCACUUAUAUGAUGAUAAAACUGAACCUGUUGAUAGCAAAUCAUAUCGGUCUCUGAUUGGAAAGCUACUAUAUGUAACUAGGGCUGCACAACGAGUCGAGCCAACUCGAGCUCGACUCGAACUCGCCCGAUAAAGCUCGACUUGAGCUCGACUCAUUUAUAAAUGAGUCGAGUUGGAGCUCACCCUUCAACUCGAAAUGUUAAACAAGUCGAGUUCGAGUUGCAAGAACUCGACUCUUUUAAACUCGACUUGACUCACUAUCAACUGAAUCAGUGAAUCGUAUAAACCGGUUCCUGAAACCGGUUCACCGGUUUAGGGUGAAAUCUAUUCCCAUCUUGAUUUUCCGUCUUGAUAAAAACCUUUAGAAGUCUGCAAGGCAGGCUGCCUUUACCAGAGGGAAGCCAAAGCAACAACUGAGUGAGGUUAGCUACACUUUUUAUUUCAUAUAUUUCUGUCUUGAUAAAAACCUUUAGAAGUCUGCAAGGCAGGCUGCCUUUACCAGAGGGAAGCCAAAGCAACAACUGAGUGAGGUUAGCUACACUUUCUAUUUCAUAUAUGCAAUUUUUCUUGCUGUCAACCCAUGCUUACCAACCCUUUGUUAUCUUGAUUGAAGUCAUUUCAUCAUAUCAUUCUUGAGUUAUUUGCUAUAGUUUGAGAAAUUACCUUGGUAAAGUAGCUAAUAAUACUUAUCUCUUUUCUCCUUUUUGUUUGUUAAACACAUACUUGUGCAUCAAUAUGGAGAAUGGUUGGUUAUGUAGUAGUUGCUUGACUUAUUUUGACCAAAUAUUCAUGAAGCUAAUUUUUGGACGUCCCAUAGUCCCACAAGGGGAUUAUACUAGUGAGAACUUUGAUCACGGUGUUUCUUGUGGCAUCAAUGGCUUGAAAUAUAUGGAUUUAUGAAUGAAGUGCUAAAAAAAGUCUGUUUGUUUCAAGAAUGAGAAAUAAAAAAGAAGAUCAUCCCCAUUACAGUUGACAAUGCUUCUUCUAAUGAUAUUCUUGUAAGAACAUUGGAAGAAAUUUUAGAGAAAAGUGCUGUAAAUCUAUACCAAGGCCAUAAUUUUUUUCAUGUCCGUUGUUGUGCACAUAUAUUAAAUCUAAUGGUGCAAGAUGGUUUGUUUGCUAUUAAAGAUGAACUUGGUAAGAUUAGGGAGGCAGUCAAAUAUGUAAAAUGUUCUCCAUCAAGAAUUCACAACUUUCAAGUUAUAGUAGAUGAAUUUAAAAUUUGUGGUCAAAAGAAGUUGGUUCUAGAUGUUGCAACUCGAUGGAAUUCUACUUAUUUGAUGUUGAAGGUUGCACUUAUGUACAUACAUGUUUUUGAUAGAUACGUUAUGAAAGAUGCUGGUUUUACUUGGUUGUUGGAUGCAGAUGAAUGGGAGAGAGUACAAAAAAUAUGUACUUUUCUUGAAGCAUUUUAUAAUGUUUCUGUGCUUUUUUCACGGUCCAAGUAUCCUACAGCAAACCUAUUUUUCUUAGAAAUUUGGGGGGUUCAAGAAUUAUUACAAGAAAAAGUUGUAAAUGGUUGCAGCUUUAUGAAGAGAAUGGCAUCCAAAAUGAAAGAAAAAUUUGAUAAGUAUUGGAGUUUUUGCAAUAUGUUGAUGGCUAUUGCUUCUAUAUUAGAUCCAAGAAUAAAGUUUAGUUUAAAAGACUUUGUCUUUUCAAAGACUUUUAGUUAAAUAGAAGAAAAGGAAUAUCAGAUGACAUUAGUAAGAAAUACAAUGCAAGAGCUUUAUAACAGCUAUGUUGCAAAAAUUGAAGGUUUAAAUAAAGAUGUUGAAUGUGAUGCUACUACUUCUAUGAGAGGAAUUGACUCAUCAUGUAGGAACUCCAAUAGAUCAAGUGUAAGAAUUUUUAGGUUUUUAAUCAAAGCAGACAAUGUUCCUUUUCAAGCUCCAAAGUCUGAGCUUGAUAUGUAUUUAGAAGAUAGAUUGUUGAAAUAUGAUGCUACCACUUAUGAUUUGUUUGAUGUAUUGAUUUGGUGGAAAGAUAAAGAAUUGAAAUACCCCAUUUUAUCACAUAUGGCACGAGAUAUAUUAUGUAUUCCUAUUACCACAGUUGCCUUUGAAUAUGCUUUUAGUACUGGAGGUUGAGUUGUGGAUGAAUGUAGGAGUUCAUUGAGUCCAAAGACAGUAGAAGAAUUAAUUUGUGCAGGUGAUUGGAUAAAACAGUAUGGCGACCCUAUGAAUUUUGUACCGGUAUUGCGAAAGUUUUUUUGUAGGGUGUUGUUGAAGAUGAGAUAGCAUGACAUGAUUCAACAUCAUUUCAAACAUAUUAUGCACUAGCAACUAACAAAAUAUCAGGUAUUAUUCUAAGUUUAGUAGUUGUUUUGUUCUUAGAUGUUUGACUUUACCUUGAUGACAACAAUAUCAGCUGAAUUUCUUUGGAACACUGUCAAUAUUGAUUUCUUUUAUGCUAACAAUUUUAUUUUGAUAUGCAAAUACUAUAAGUUUCAAGUGGCAGAAUAUCAGUAUAUUGCACAAAAUAUCAGUAUAUUGCAGAAAAUUUUUGGUAUUAGGCAAUUAGGCUCAAUGGCACUAUGGGAUAACUGUUGAUCCUGAUGGACAUAAACGGGCUCUUAUAAUUGGAGGUGGCAUUGCUAAUUUCACUGAUGUUGCUAAGGGAGAAGGUUAGGCAGAUGUGCAAUGAUCAAAUAUCUAGUAGGAAUUGGUCUUCUUCUGAGAACUCUCAAAUCUAGACAUGGUUUGAAUCUGGUUUGAUAUGAAUUUGGCAGUGGGAUUCUCAUACUGAUAUCAUUGUGGGAAAUUCAGGCGUAAGGGUGUAGUUGUGCUGGCCAAGAACAAGAAGAGAAACUUUAUUUCAGUUUUUCAUGUUCCAUAUAGGAACAUCAAGCUGACUCAAGUACUUAAAGAUUCACUUGGACUGGAUUCAAAGGCUCUCAUGGUCAUUCAUAUAAAGCCCAUAGGAAGAUGACAUCAAUGAGACCAUAUGUUCUAUGAAUUUUGGGCAGAGGGCAAGGAGCAUAGAUUGCCACAAGGAAUACCCUGUGGAGUUAAAAAAUUUGAGGCAAAUGAAGAUUGCAGAACUUGAUCAGGAGAUGAGAAGUGCAGAGAAAGAUUGCCAAGUGACAAGAGACCAUAUCCAAAGCAUUGAAAGCAAACUGGAAGAAAAGAAAAGGAUAUUGUCACUGUCAAAUGACAGAGGCAGGUUGCUGAAAAUGAAGCCAAAGGAGCAAAAGCUAACAGAUCAGGAAGAAAAUAUGCCAGUGACGCAGAUUUUCAGCUAUCAGUAUCUCGCAUUCUUUCCAAUCAAAUUCUAUUAUCAAGGCAAGCCCAAGUCAUGGACUAUCACCAAGGACUAAUGCCAAGAAGCUUCAUAUUGAAGAAUUGAGCUCUAUGCACCCUGAUGCUCCAGUUCAUGACAGCAGUGGCUCAAAGUUUUCAAAGAUGUGUAAAGCAUCUUUGUAAUCUUGUUGUUUGGCCUAUCAAAAUCCAUGUCAAAGCCUCCAAUAGUGAAUGGAGAGUUUUACUUUGCCAACCAUUGUCUGAAGCUGUUUGGAGUCUUGGCUAUGUCAUGUCAAAGCCUCCUCUAUUUCCAUAUGAAUGGUACAACCUACUUGCACUUAUAUUAUUAACUCUUAGUUGCUGUAUGCAUCUCUCAAGUGAAUGCAUUUACAUAAAUUACAUUGU